AGCGGCGGACGGGUGAGUAACACGUGGGUAACCUGCCCAAGAGACUGGGAUAACACCUGGAAACAGAUGCUAAUACCGGAUAACAACACUAGACGCAUGUCUAGAGCUUGAAAGAUGGUUCUGCUAUCUCUCUUGGAUGGACCUGCGGUGCAUUAGCUAGUUGGUAAGGUAACGGCUUACCAAGGCAAUGAUGCAUAGCCGAGUUGAGAGACUGAUCGGCCACAUUGGGACUGAGACACGGCCCAAACUCCUACGGGAGGCAGCAGUAGGGAAUCUUCCACAAUGGACGAAAGUCUGAUGGAGCAACGCCGCGUGAGUGAAGAAGGGUUUCGGCUCGUAAAGCUCUGUUGGUAGUGAAGAAAGAUAGAGGUAGUAACUGGCCUUUAUUUGACGGUAAUUACUUAGAAAGUCACGGCUAACUACGUGCCAGCAGCCGCGGUAAUACGUAGGUGGCAAGCGUUGUCCGGAUUUAUUGGGCGUAAAGCGAGUGCAGGCGGUUCAAUAAGUCUGAUGUGAAAGCCUUCGGCUCAACCGGAGAAUUGCAUCAGAAACUGUCGAACUUGAGUGCAGAAGAGGAGAGUGGAACUCCAUGUGUAGCGGUGGAAUGCGUAGAUAUAUGGAAGAACACCAGUGGCGAAGGCGGCUCUCUGGUCUGCAACUGACGCUGAGUCUCGAAAGCAUGGGUAGCGAACAGGAUUAGAUACCCUGGUAGUCCAUGCCGUAAACGAUGAGUGCUAAGUGU
rnacentral:rRNA from 1 species